rnacentral:rRNA from 1 species
UACGGGGGGAGCAAGCGUUGUUCGGAUUUACUGGGCGUAAAGGGCGCGUAGGCGGUCGUGACAAGUCACUUGUGAAAUCUCCGGGCUUAACUCGGAACGGUCAAGUGAUACUGUCGGACUAGAGUACAGAAGGGGCAACUGGAAUUCUCGGUGUAGCGGUGAAAUGCGCAGAUAUCAGGAGGAACACCGGUGGCGAAGGCGGUUCUCUGGGCAUUACCUGACGCUGAGGAGCGAAAGUGUGGGGAGCGAACAGG